rnacentral:sRNA from 1 species
GUGGCUGCUGGGCUGGCGGGGCGCAGGCCGCGGGACCCGAGCCCGGGGGAGCGAGAGAGCGGAGGCGCCGAGGAUCCGAUUCAUUCGCUGGGGAGACCUAUGGGCCGAAGCCGUGUAGAUGCGUUUUAAGGCGAGUGCGGAAAGUGGCCUGGGGAGCCUCGGGGAGCGGACGCCCUCCGCCCUGGUGCUGACCUGCCCCCCUGCCCCUUCUGCCUCCUGUCAGCAGGGGCCUCGGCUCCGCAACUGCCACUCCUCCUCGGGGUGUUGCACAAGUUUCGAGGUCACCGGCGACCCCCCCUAGCAGCGCUCCUGGCUCUGGCCCCCGCGAAGGAGGACGGAGUUUGUGUGUUGCAUACUUUCUAAGGCGGCGGCUGCAGCAGCGGCUCCAUCCAGCCCGUCAGCUCCUCCUGCAAGGCAUGGCUGGCUACCUGAGUGAAUCGGACUUUGUGAUGGUGGAGGAGGGCUUCAGUACCCGAGACCUGCUGAAGGAACUCACUCUGGGGGCCUCACAGGCCACCACGUCAUUCCUUGCUUCUCAUCAGUGUUGCCUUUCCUGAUCGCCCCAGGCAGAUUUUGUAUUUUCUUUCUCCAUGCCCCCGCAUUGCACCUUGUAGAAACUGCCAUCUAACAUCUGCUGAAUGGACUUGACGAGGUAGCUGCCUUCUUCGUGGCUGACCUGGGUGCCAUAGUGAGGAAGCACUUUUGCUUUCUGAAGUGCCUGCCACGAGUCCAGCCCUUUUACACUGUCAAGUGCAACAGCAGCCCAGGUGUGCUAAAGGUUCUGGCCCAGCUGGGGCUGGGCUUUAGCUGUGCCAACAAGGCAGAGAUGGAGUUGGUCCAGCAUAUUGGAAUCCCUGCCAGUAAGAUCAUCUGCGCCAACCCCUGUAAGCAAAUUGCACAGAUCAAAUAUGCUGCCAAGCAUGGGAUCCAGCUGCUGAGCUUUGACAAUGAGAUGGAGCUGGCAAAGGUGGUAAAGAGCCACCCCAGUGCCAAGAUGGUUCUGUGCAUUGCUACUGAUGACUCCCACUCCCUGAGCUGCCUGAGCCUAAAGUUUGGAGUGUCACUGAAAUCCUGCAGACACCUGCUUGAAAAUGCGAAGAAGAACCAUGCGGAGGUGGUGGGUGUGAG